GAUGAACGCUAGCUACAGGCUUAACACAUGCCAGUCGAGGGGCAGCAUGAACUUAGCUUGCUAAGUUUGAUGGCGACCGGCGCACGGGUGAGUAACACGUAUCCAACCUGCCGAUGACUCGGGGAUAGCCUUUCGAAAGAAAGAUUAAUACCCGAUGGCAUAGUUCUUCCGCAUGGUAGAACUAUUAAAGAAUUUCGGUCAUCGAUGGGGAUGCGUUCCAUUAGGUUGUUGGCGGGGUAACGGCCCACCAAGCCUUCGAUGGAUAGGGGUUCUGAGAGGAAGGUCCCCCACAUUGGAACUGAGACACGGUCCAAACUCCUACGGGAGGCAGCAGUGAGGAAUAUUGGUCAAUGGACGAGAGUCUGAACCAGCCAAGUAGCGUGAAGGAGGACUGCCCUAUGGGUUGUAAACUUCUUUUAUACGGGAAUAAAGUGAGGCACGUGUGCCUUUUUGUAUGUACCGUAUGAAUAAGGAUCGGCUAACUCCGUG
rnacentral:rRNA from 1 species